rnacentral:ncRNA from 1 species
AUUCUGGUUGAUCCUGCCAGAGGUCAUUGCUAUUGGAGUUCGAUUUAGCCAUGCUAGUUGUACGAGCUUAGACUCGUAGCGGAAAGCUCAGUAACACGUGAUCAAACUACCCUAUAGAUCAGAAUACUCUCGGGAAACUGAGGCUAAUACUGAAUAACGCUCCUUCGUUGGAAUUACAAGGAGCCAGAAACGCUCCGGCGCUAUAGGAUGUGAUUGCGGCCGAUUAGGUAGACGGUGGGGUAACGGCCCACCGUGCCGAUAAUCGGUACGGGUUGUGAGAGCAAGAGCCCGGAGAUGGAUUCUGAGACAAGAAUCCAGGCCCUACGGGGCGCAGCAGGCGCGAAAACUUUACACUGCACGACAGUGCGAUAAGGGAACUCCAAGUGCGAGGGCAUAACGUCCUCGCUUUUGUGUAUCGUAAGGUGGUACACGAAUAAGAGCUGGGCAAGACCGGUGCCAGCCGCCGCGGUAAUACCGGCAGCUCAAGUGAUGACCAAUUUUAUUGGGCCUAAAGCGUCCGUAGCCGGCCAGACAGGUCCGUCGGGAAAUCUGCUCGCUCAACGAGCAGGCGUCCGGCGGAAACCCGCUGGCUUGGGGCCGGAAGAUCCAAGGGGUACGUCUGGGGUAGGAGUGAAAUCCUGUAAUCCUAGACGGACCACCGAUCGCGAAAGCACCUUGGAAGGACGGACCCGACGGUGAGGGACGAAAGCUAGGGUCACGAACCGGAUUAGAUACCCGGGUAGUCCUAGCUGUAAACGAUGCUCGCUAGGUGUGACACAGGCUACGAGCCUGUGCUGUGCCACAGUGAAGACGCAAGCGAGCCGCCUGGGAAGUACGUCCGCAAGGAUGAAACUUAAAGGAAUUGGCGGGGGAGCACUACAACCGGAGGAGCCUGCGGUUUAAUUGGACUCAACGCCGGACAUCUCACCAGCAUCGACAAU